rnacentral:rRNA from 1 species
AUUGAACGCUGGCGGAAUGCUUUACACAUGCAAGUCGAACGGCAGCACGGGGGCAACCCUGGUGGCGAGUGGCGAACGGGUGAGUAAUGUAUCGGAACGUGCCCAGUCGUGGGGGAUAACGUAGUGAAAAUUACGCUAAUACCGCAUACGAUCUACGGAUGAAAGCGGGGGAUCGCAAGACCUCGCGCGAUUGGAGCGGCCGAUAUCAGAUUAGGUAGUUGGUGGGGUAAAGGCUCACCAAGCCGACGAUCUGUAGCUGGUCUGAGAAGACGACCAGCCACACUGGAACUGAGACACGGUCCAGACUCCUACGGGAGGCAGCAGUGGGGAAUUUUGGACAAUGGGCGCAAGCCUGAUCCAGCCAUUCCGCGUGCAGGAUGAAGGCCCUCGGGUUGUAAACUGCUUUUGUACGGAGCGAAAAGGCUCUCUCUAAUACAGGGGCUCAUGACGGUACCGUAAGAAUAAGCACCGGCUAACUACGUG